GAUGAACGCUGGCGGCGUGCCUAAUACAUGCAAGUCGAGCGAAUGGAUUAAGAGCUUGCUCCUAUGAAGUUAGCGGCGGACGGGUGAGUAACACGUGGGUAACCUGCCCAUAAGACUGGGAUAACUCCGGGAAACCGGGGCUAAUACCGGAUAACAUUUUGAACCGCAUGGCUCGAAAUUGAAAGGCGGCUUCGGCUGUCACUUAUGGAUGGACCCGCGUCGCAUUAGCUAGUUGGUGAGGUAACGGCUCACCAAGGCAACGAUGCGUAGCCGACCUGAGAGGGUGAUCGGCCACACUGGGACUGAGACACGGCCCAGACUCCUACGGGAGGUAGCAGUAGGGAAUCUUCCGCAAUGGACGAAAGUCUGACGGAGCAACGCCGCGUGAGUGAUGAAGGCUUUCGGGUCGUAAAACUCUGUUGUUAGGGAAGAACAAGUGCUAAUUGAAUAAGCUGGCACCUUGACGGUACCUAACCAGAAAGCCACGGCUAACUACGUGCCAGCCACCGCGGUAA
rnacentral:rRNA from 1 species